rnacentral:rRNA from 1 species
AUUGAACGCUGGCGGCAUGCUUUACACAUGCAAGUCGAACGGUAACAGGCCUUCGGGUGCUGACGAGUGGCGAACGGGUGAGUAAUGCAUCGGAACGUACCCAGAGGUGGGGGAUAACGCAGCGAAAGCUGUGCUAAUACCGCAUGUGAUCUGAGGAUGAAAGCGGGGGACCGAGCAGCAAUGUUUGGCCUUGCGCCUUUGGAGCGGCCGAUGUCGGAUUAGCUAGUUGGUGGGGUAAAGGCCUACCAAGGCGACGAUCCGUAGCUGGUCUGAGAGGACGACCAGCCACACUGGGACUGAGACACGGCCCAGACUCCUACGGGAGGCAGCAGUGGGGAAUUUUGGACAAUGGGCGCAAGCCUGAUCCAGCAAUGCCGCGUGCGGGAAGAAGGCCUUCGGGUUGUAAACCGCUUUUGGCAGGAACGAAACGGUGUCCGCUAAUACCGGGCGCUAAUGACGGUACCUGCAGAAUAAGCACCGGCUAACUACGUG